rnacentral:rRNA from 1 species
UACGUAGGGUGCGAGCGUUGUCCGGAAUUAUUGGGCGUAAAGAGCUCGUAGGCGGUCUGUUGCGUCGGCUGUGAAAACCCGGGGCUCAACUCCGGGCCUGCAGCCGAUACGGGCAGACUAGAGUUCGGCAGGGGAGACUGGAAUUCCUGGUGUAGCGGUGAAAUGCGCAGAUAUCAGGAGGAACACCGGUGGCGAAGGCGGGUCUCUGGGAAGUAACUGACGCUGAGAAGCGAAAGCAUGGGUAGCAAACAGG